UGAGGAAUAUUGGUCAAUGGACGCAAGUCUGAACCAGCCAUGCCGCGUGCAGGAAGACGGCUCUAUGAGUUGUAAACUGCUUUUUUACAGGGGUAAACUCAGGUACGUGUACCUGACUGAAAGUACUGUAAGAAUAAGGAUCGGCUAACUCCGUGCCAGCAGCCGCGGUAAUACGGAGGAUCCGAGCGUUAUCCGGAUUUAUUGGGUUUAAAGGGUGCGUAGGCGGUUUGAUAAGUUAGAGGUGAAACACCGUAGCUCAACUACGGUCCUGCCUCUAAUACUGUUAAGCUAGAGAGUAGAUGCUGUGGGCGGAAUGUGUGGUGUAGCGGUGAAAUGCUUAGAGAUCACACAGAACACCGAUUGCGAAGGCAGCUCACAAAUCUAUAUCUGACGCUGAGGCACGAAAGCGUGGGGAUCAAACA
rnacentral:rRNA from 1 species